UAUAGAAUGAAAUUAGAUAGAAUUUUCAAUCAAUUGACCGACAAACUGCUAUGACGAUACUUGUCCAAUUCAAUUAUUCCAAUUAACGAUUAAUUAAAGUCCUUGUCUUCGCUUUCCACCGUUAAAAGUCGGCAUAUCAAAAAGACCAUGACAUCGCGCCACAAUCGGCGAACAACCUUUUCGCCGUGAUCUUGAAAUUAACCAACCUGUGCCCCGGUUCUCAAGAUUCAUAACGAUAAGGGACAACCGUGAGAAACUGCAUUCUCGAUUCUUGUGCGAAAUUGCGGGAAAAUACGCUCGCGCUCUGCCAGAGACAGCCCGACGACAAUAGACACGUGUCGUGGGGAAAAACGAAAAAAAAAGAAGAAGAAGAAAAAAAGGAAAAACUCCAAACAAGGAGAAUAUCGGAUGAGUUUAAUUAAUAAGAGUUGGUCGUUUCAUUGUCGAGCAUUUUUCUUCCGAAUCGCGAUUAGGCGGCUAUUUAUCUGAUGACAAAUCGAGGGGCCACGUUUUAACGAGGGGAUCGAUUUCGUGGUGUUUCUCACGGAAUUAGAACGAAGAAAAUUUCUCGAGUUUCCCUUAGCAUUAUUCUCCGACGGGAGAAGGAAAUCAGGAAGAAACGCAAUUAUUCGUAAAAUUGUUCUUUCCUCGCUCGAACGCGUGAAAUUUGAGCCACACUUCGAUAAUUAGACGUAAUUAGAGGUUUCGAUACGGAUCUUAAUAACUAUUUAUAAAUAUAGAAUUUCUGGAAAAUUGAUUAUAACAGAUACGACUAUAUAACGUAACGUUGCCAAGUGACAAAUUGAUAAACAUGUUUCCUGUUUCCCGUAUUGCUUAUCAUCUUAUUAAAAAAAAAAUAUACAUCAUCUAAAAUCCUCUUCCCUUCUCUCCAAUCACGUUUCAAUCCAAAAACAAAUUGACCUUAAACCCUUAUAAACCCUUGAACUUCCUCGACACUUCGAUUUAACAACAACUUUCUCUCUUACCUAAUCGCUAAGAAAAAAGAAGAAGAAGAAGAAGAAGAAAAAAAUUCCUCGAAGAAACACAACACGAUCCCUUCUUGGCUCCGUGGCUAUCCUCGAUCGUGCAAAAGGAAGAAAAAAAGUGGUCAGAAAUAUUUCGACUUGGCGCCAGAAAAUCGGUGUGGCCGCGAGGGUCGCGGCCAUCGACGAUCUUGAUAGCGGCCGGGAAUCUCUUCCGAUGACUCACGCACGCUAGAAGACACGCCGCGCCGAUUCGAAAUAAACACGCAUCCUCAUGCGGCCGGCGAUCGAACGUAUUCUUCUUCUUCUUCUUCUUCUUCUUUUUUUUCUCACGGGACGUGGUUUGAGUUUCGCGUUCGUUACGAUGAUUCAAUUCAACGUUCUUGGGAAAAACGUGAAUGAAGCGAUCGAGAGGCUUAAAAAUAUCUCCUGACAGUUCCCCCGACAAACCGUUUAUCCGUCGUUCCGUGUCAGGAUGUGCGUCACGCGAUUGUUCGUCACUAAUCCCGAGCCGAAGGUGUCGUCAGACGGCUAAGAAUACCGUGAUCGUCGUCCCAGAAGUGCAUAGUGUUCAUCAAGAAGGUAGACAGAACAGGAGCAGAAACGGAGAGAGAGAUCGCGGUGUGGGUCAUCGUAUCCGACCAAAUAUGGUUACGAGAUCGGUUUGGAUGAAGGAUUAACGACGAGAGAGAGAGAUUAGAAGGGCGGAGGGGGAGGAGGGUUUUUGGCAGAAAUUCGACCGGUUUUCGAUCUUAUUUGGGGACGAUGCACGGGGGAUAUGCUAAAUAAGGCGGCGUGGAAUGCGUGUUUUCGGGGUUUUCUCAGGCAAAGGUGAGGAGAAGGAAUAAUAAUUUUAUGUUCUUAAUCUUUUGUACAAACGUAAGACGAACGGAAUAGAACAAAGUGUCACGUAUAAUAAAUGGACAAAACAUGAAUAAAUGGAUGAAAAUAAAGUUGAAUAUUUAUACGGAAUAAAUAUAUUAUACAAGAGUUCGCGGUCUCAUUACGAUAAAUUUCAAUUACAAAAUAGCAGAUACAAGAUUCUUUUUUUUGAUAAUUUUAUACAUAAUUCCCUGACAUUCUAUAAACUAGGAAUAGUAUUAAACGAUCCUUCAACAAUAAUUCAAUUUAAAAAAAAUAAAAACUUUCUUCUUAACAGAUUUAAGAAAGUCGGGUGAAAAAUUACCACACUUUCUCCUCUUUCUUUUUUUCCUCUCCUUCAUUUUUUAAAAAAAACUCAAAAGAUUUGGCGCAUAAAGUAUUAAAAACACGUAAUUUCGCGAAUCCCGAUCCAGAAACUGACCCAAAAUAUAAAAAAAGUAACCGACCUCGCGGAGAGUAACACGAAUCGCGCUCGUGAUAUCAAUGAUGCUUAUCAACUCAAAUGUCGAUGGAAAUUUCGCACAGUCGACAAGUGGGCCAAACUUCCGCGCACGUUCGUGUUUAUUGCACGUGACCAGCGUCGCGAAACAUUUUUGCGCCGCGAUUUGCACGCGCGUGCCUGAAAAAAAAA